UAGAGCUUGACGUGUUGGAGAC
rnacentral:miRNA from 1 species